GACGAACGCUGGCGGCGCGCUUAACACAUGCAAGUCGAACGGAAAGGCCUGCUUUCCCUUGUGGAUUGCGGGUACUCGAGUGGCGAACGGGUGAGUAACACGUGAGUGAUCUGCCCCCAACUUGGUUAUAAGCCUGGGACACUGUGUCUAAUUCCCGAUAGGACUGCAGGGUGGUGCCUGUGGUGGAAAACGAUUUUCUAGUGGUUGGGGAUGAGCUCGCGGCCUAUCAGCUUGUUGGUGGGGUAAUGGCCUACCAAGGCGGCGACGGGUAGCCGGCCUGAGAGGGUGGACGGCCACAUUGGGACUGAGAUACGGCCCAGACUACUACGGGAGGCAGCAGUGGGGAAUAUUGCACAAUGGGCGGAAGCCUGAUGCAGCGACGCCGCGUGGGGGAUGACGGCAUUCGGGUUGUAAACUCCUUUCGACCGCGAGGAAGCCACCUGGUUGGAAGGGUGGUGACGGUAGUGGUAGAAGAAGCACCGGCUAACUACGUG
rnacentral:rRNA from 1 species